UACAAACAUGCAUGCAGGACAAACACC
rnacentral:piRNA from 1 species